rnacentral:rRNA from 1 species
AAAACUAAAAGGACGCGGUAACCUUGACCGUGAUAAUGUAGCAUAAUCAUUCGCCAUUUAAUUGAUGGAUAGUAUGAAUGGUUGAACGAAUAUUUCACUGUCUUAAAAAGAAACAUUUAAAAAUUAGAAUAAUAGUAAAGAUACUAUUUAAAAUUGUAAGACGAAAAGACCCUAUAGAGCUUAACUAUAAUCUUUUACUAAUCAAAAGAAAAAAUUCUUUAAAAUAAAAAGAUUGGUAGUUUAGUUGGGGCGACUAUCUUUUAAAAUUAACAAAGAUAAGCAAAGUAAAUAAAAAAACUUAUUGUAUAAUUAAUAAAUUUAACAAUUACUAAAGUAGGCUAUAAUGACCCGUUAUAAUUUUAUAAAAAAAAAUAACGAUCAAUAAAUAAAAGCUACCUUAGGGAUAACAGGAUAAUUUUAUUUUAGAGAUCAUAUCGAAAAUAAAGUUUGUCACCUCUAUGUUGAAUUAAGA